GUGCCCUAGACGUCGCUUCCGCCCUCUUCAGGUCAAGUAAGGGAGGGUUUCAGUAGCUGUUCUUCUCCUCCUCCCUGUCCAACGUCACUUCCGCUCCCUGCAGAGUCAGGAACUACAUCUCCCAGACUGCUCCGGGAAGUGCUUCCGCCCUCUUCAGCUCAGGCUGCAGAAUGACGUCCAUGUUUCGCUCCAGCUCAUCCCAUCCUCCCGUGGGACAGGGGAGAGAAAUGGCUGCAGUGGAACCAGUUCAGGGGCCGGUGACCUUCGAGGAGGUGGCUGUGUAUUUCAC